rnacentral:rRNA from 1 species
UUAAGCGACUAAGCGUACACGGUGGAUGCCCUGGCAGUCAGAGGCGAUGAAGGACGUGCUAAUCUGCGAUAAGCGUCGGUAAGGUGAUAUGAACCGUUAUAACCGGCGAUUUCCGAAUGGGGAAACCCAGUGUGUUUCGACACACUAUCAUUAACUGAAUCCAUAGGUUAAUGAGGCGAACCGGGGGAACUGAAACAUCUAAGUACCCCGAGGAAAAGAAAUCAACCGAGAUUCCCCCAGUAGCGGCGAGCGAACGGGGAGCAGCCCAGAGCCUGAAUCAGUAUGUGUGUUAGUGGAAGCGUCUGGAAAGGCGCGCGAUACAGGGUGACAGCCCCGUACACAAAAAUGCACAUACUGUGAGCUCGAUGAGUAGGGCGGGACACGUGGUAUCCUGUCUGAAUAUGGGGGGACCAUCCUCCAAGGCUAAAUACUCCUGACUGACCGAUAGUGAACCAGUACCGUGAGGGAAAGGCGAAAAGAACCCCGGCGAGGGGAGUGAAAAAGAACCUGAAACCGUGUACGUACAAGCAGUGGGAGCACGCUUAGGCGUGUGACUGCGUACCUUUUGUAUAAUGGGUCAGCGACUUAUAUUCUGUAGCAAGGUUAACCGAAUAGGGGAGCCGAAGGGAAACCGAGUCUUAACUGGGCGUUAAGUUGCAGGGUAUAGACCCGAAACCCGGUGAUCUAGCCAUGGGCAGGUUGAAGGUUGGGUAACACUAACUGGAGGACCGAACCGACUAAUGUUGAAAAAUUAGCGGAUGACUUGUGGCUGGGGGUGAAAGGCCAAUCAAACCGGGAGAUAGCUGGUUCUCCCCGAAAGCUAUUUAGGUAGCGCCUCGUGAAUUCAUCUCCGGGGGUAGAGCACUGUUUCGGCAAGGGGGUCAUCCCGACUUACCAACCCGAUGCAAACUGCGAAUACCGGAGAAUGUUAUCACGGGAGACACACGGCGGGUGCUAACGUCCGUCGUGAAGAGGGAAACAACCCAGACCGCCAGCUAAGGUCCCAAAGUCAUGGUUAAGUGGGAAACGAUGUGGGAAGGCCCAGACAGCCAGGAUGUUGGCUUAGAAGCAGCCAUCAUUUAAAGAAAGCGUAAUAGCUCACUGGUCGAGUCGGCCUGCGCGGAAGAUGUAACGGGGCUAAACCAUGCACCGAAGCUGCGGCAGCGACGCUUAUGCGUUGUUGGGUAGGGGAGCGUUCUGUAAGCCUGUGAAGGUGUACUGUGAGGUAUGCUGGAGGUAUCAGAAGUGCGAAUGCUGACAUAAGUAACGAUAAAGCGGGUGAAAAGCCCGCUCGCCGGAAGACCAAGGGUUCCUGUCCAACGUUAAUCGGGGCAGGGUGAGUCGACCCCUAAGGCGAGGCCGAAAGGCGUAGUCGAUGGGAAACAGGUUAAUAUUCCUGUACUUGGUGUUACUGCGAAGGGGGGACGGAGAAGGCUAUGUUGGCCGGGCGACGGUUGUCCCGGUUUAAGCGUGUAGGCUGGUUUUCCAGGCAAAUCCGGAAAAUCAAGGCUGAGGCGUGAUGACGAGGCACUACGGUGCUGAAGCAACAAAUGCCCUGCUUCCAGGAAAAGCCUCUAAGCAUCAGGUAACAUCAAAUCGUACCCCAAACCGACACAGGUGGUCAGGUAGAGAAUACCAAGGCGCUUGAGAGAACUCGGGUGAAGGAACUAGGCAAAAUGGUGCCGUAACUUCGGGAGAAGGCACGCUGAUAUGUAGGUGAAGCGACUUGCUCGUGGAGCUGAAAUCAGUCGAAGAUACCAGCUGGCUGCAACUGUUUAUUAAAAACACAGCACUGUGCAAACACGAAAGUGGACGUAUACGGUGUGACGCCUGCCCGGUGCCGGAAGGUUAAUUGAUGGGGUUAGCGCAAGCGAAGCUCUUGAUCGAAGCCCCGGUAAACGGCGGCCGUAACUAUAACGGUCCUAAGGUAGCGAAAUUCCUUGUCGGGUAAGUUCCGACCUGCACGAAUGGCGUAAUGAUGGCCAGGCUGUCUCCACCCGAGACUCAGUGAAAUUGAACUCGCUGUGAAGAUGCAGUGUACCCGCGGCAAGACGGAAAGACCCCGUGAACCUUUACUAUAGCUUGACACUGAACAUUGAGCCUUGAUGUGUAGGAUAGGUGGGAGGCUUUGAAGUGUGGACGCCAGUCUGCAUGGAGCCGACCUUGAAAUACCACCCUUUAAUGUUUGAUGUUCUAACGUUGACCCGUAAUCCGGGUUGCGGACAGUGUCUGGUGGGUAGUUUGACUGGGGCGGUCUCCUCCUAAAGAGUAACGGAGGAGCACGAAGGUUGGCUAAUCCUGGUCGGACAUCAGGAGGUUAGUGCAAUGGCAUAAGCCAGCUUGACUGCGAGCGUGACGGCGCGAGCAGGUGCGAAAGCAGGUCAUAGUGAUCCGGUGGUUCUGAAUGGAAGGGCCAUCGCUCAACGGAUAAAAGGUACUCCGGGGAUAACAGGCUGAUACCGCCCAAGAGUUCAUAUCGACGGCGGUGUUUGGCACCUCGAUGUCGGCUCAUCACAUCCUGGGGCUGAAGUAGGUCCCAAGGGUAUGGCUGUUCGCCAUUUAAAGUGGUACGCGAGCUGGGUUUAGAACGUCGUGAGACAGUUCGGUCCCUAUCUGCCGUGGGCGCUGGAGAACUGAGGGGGGCUGCUCCUAGUACGAGAGGACCGGAGUGGACGCAUCACUGGUGUUCGGGUUGUCAUGCCAAUGGCACUGCCCGGUAGCUAAAUACGGAAGAGAUAAGUGCUGAAAGCAUCUAAGCACGAAACUUGCCCCGAGAUGAGUUCUCCCUGACCCCUUAAGAGUCCUGAAGGAACGUUGAAGACGACGACGUUGAUAGGCCGGGUGUGUAAGCGCAGCGAUGCGUUGAGCUAACCGGUACUAAUGAACCGUGAGGCUUAACCUU